AUGAAUACACUGGCCCAACUACAUGAAUUCAUCAAGCUAGCUUUGACCGUCACCUUGACCUCCCUCGACCCUAACACUCUAGACGCCAUCUCCUGGAACUGGAAUCCCAACGACGAAUAUUCGGCUAGCUCAACAUAUGGGGAGCAAUUCCUCGGAUCGUAUCCGAGAUUCUUCAGCGACAAAAUCUGAAAGGCGCAUGCAGUGCUAAAGUGCAAGCUUUUCUCCUGGCUGGUCCUCCACAAUCGGAUCCUUACAGCUGACCGACUCGCCUUGCGAGGCUGGCCACAUAACCUCCUCUGCCAACUAUGCCUCCACACCAACGAGAAUGCAUAA
rnacentral:rRNA from 1 species